rnacentral:rRNA from 1 species
UACGUAGGGUGCGAGCGUUAAUCGGAAUUACUGGGCGUAAAGCGUGCGCAGGCGGUUUUGUAAGACAGAUGUGAAAUCCCCGGGCUUAACCUGGGAACUGCAUUUGUGACUGCAUUGCUGGAGUGCGGCAGAGGGGGAUGGAAUUCCGCGUGUAGCAGUGAAAUGCGUAGAUAUGCGGAGGAACACCGAUGGCGAAGGCAAUCCCCUGGGCCUGCACUGACGCUCAUGCACGAAAGCGUGGGGAGCAAACAGG